rnacentral:rRNA from 1 species
GAUGAACGCUGGCGGCGUGCUUAACACAUGCAAGUCGAACGGGAAACCUUUUAUUGAAGCUUCGGCAGAUUUAGCUGGUUUCUAGUGGCGGACGGGUGAGUAACGCGUGGGUAACCUGCCUUAUACAGGGGGAUAACAACCAGAAAUGGUUGCUAAUACCGCAUAAGCGCACAGUACCGCAUGGUCCGGUGUGAACAACUCCGGUGGUAUAAGAUGGACCCGCGUUGGAUUAGCUCGUUGGCAGGGUAACGGCCUACCAAGGCGACGAUCCAUAGCCGGCCUGAGAGGGUGAACGGCGACAUUGGGACUGAGACACGGCCCAGACUCAUACGGGAGGCAGCAGUGGGGAAUAUUGAACAAUGGGGGAAACCCUGAUGAAGCGACGCCGCGUGAAGGAAGAAGUAUCUCGGUAUGGAAACUUCUAUCAGCAGGGAAGAUAGUGACGGUACCUGACGAAGAAGCCCCGGCUAACUACGUG